GGGCUUUAAGGGGUGGACAUCAACAGCAGAAAAAAAAUGGCUGCUACUCUUUGACGUCAGUGCGUUUGGUACGCCUCGGCCAGGCACGCAGCGGGCAUCAUAGAGCUGGGGGUUCCGUUUAGGAUGGGUUAAGAUGCCUCCCGGAUUAUUCAAAAUGCAAGGAACGGUGUGUUCCGUCUGUGUUCGUGUUUUCAAAUGGUGCCCAGUGCUGUUCAUCACGACCAUAGUAGCCUGGUCCUACUACGCGUAUGUCAUCCAACUGUGUUUGUUUACCAUUGAGAACGUAAUCCAAAAGAUAUUUUACCUGAUUGGAUUUCAUGCCUGUUUUGCCAUGUUCGCUUGGUCGUACUGGCAGACCAUAUUCACAGAGCCAGGUACCAUUCCAAAGCAAUUCUACCUGUCACCAGCAGAUGCUGAGCACCUGGAAAAGGAACUCAGCGAAGAUAAUCAAAGGCAAAUGCUGGAAAGGCUUGCCAAAAACCUUCCCGUCUCAUGUCGCACCAUGAAUGGGAUGGUGAGAUAUUGUGAGAAGUGCCACCUCAUCAAGCCUGACAGAGCACACCACUGUUCAGUAUGUGGGAGGUGUAUACUGAAAAUGGACCAUCAUUGCCCUUGGGUGAACAACUGUGUGUCUUUCACAAACUACAAGUACUUCAUUCUCUUCUUGGCCUACUCCUUAAUCUACUGCCUUUUCGUGGCUGCUACGACACUGCAGUUCUUCAUAAAGUUCUGGACGAAUGACCUUGAAGGCUGGGGACGUUUCCACAUUUUGUUUUUGUUUUUCGUUGCUUUCAUGUUUGCCAUCAGCUUGGUCUCACUGUUUGGCUAUCACUGCUUCCUCGUCAUGGUGAACCGCUCUACACUCGAGGCAUUCCGGCCACCAAUAUUUCGCACUGGGCCAGACAAGCACGGCUUCAGUCUUGGCCACCAGGCCAAUGUGGCCGAGGUAUUUGGUGACAACCGUCGUCUCUGGCUUCUACCAGUUUUCACGAGCCUGGGUGAUGGGGUGACUUAUCCAACACGCACCCAACUGGCCAGUUCGUACAACUCCAUGGGGAGCACGGAGCAGGCAAGGCGAAAAACUCGGUCUACAAGGGAAAGCAAGACACUCCUUUUGGAUGAAUGCUUGGGAGACGGCGUCACUUUCCCACAGAAGAUUGUGGAUGAGGACACAGAUGGGCUCUUAAAUCAAAGGCAGAGAUGGGCUGAAACUGAUGAAGAAGCAGGUCAUUCCGAUGCCUCUGGGAAUAGCAUGAAUGCAGAGGUCACAGCACUGCUUGAAUGAGCUGCUCCCAACUCUGUGUGUGUACCUUUGCGUGUGGUAACGCUGCGCCUCGUGAUAGGGAAUGUCAGCACCAGUGUCCAGAGCUGAAAAGAUGCACAUUGCAGAUGGCGAUCAUCCGGUCUAAGCCAGCUGGAAUUUUUUUUAAUUCAAGCAACGGCCCUGGGCGGCGCACAACUCGACCUUGCUGCAGGAACAAUGCAAGACUAAUUCCGUUGCUGCCUCCUGACCCCUUGCGUUCCUGCCUCCGUAGAUUGAUUUGUAGCAUCAAAGAGGCUCACUGCCACCAUUAUGGCGUCACUUGCAUGCCAGCCCUCUUGAGGGGAACGGAGGCUGCACGCGUUAGCCGCAAUUGGAGAGCUGGGAUGCUCUUUAAUUCUUCCCAUCCAAUAAAAAAACAAACAUAGCAUCCUCUGCAAAUAACAGCUACUGCUAGUCUCUGUGUUGAGAGGCCAGCAGUUGAGCUCAACAUGCUUUUUUUAAAUGCAUAAUGUUAAUAGUAUAUGUGUUGUGUACUGAAUUGCAUUGUUGCAGGUAUGUAAGCCAAGGUGAUUGAGCCACACACUGUUGCACUGUGUGCUUGUGUAACCUUUGGCAUGUCAUUGUGAUUUUUUUUUAAAUUUAUUGCCUUACAAUAAAAAAAAUAUUUCUUUUCAGACCUCAUUUUGUUUUACUCAAUAGCGAUAAACCUUUUAUUGUAUCACUUCAUAUAUCUUUUUCUUAUCAAGCCUUUCCUGCAUAGUUUAAACCAGAAUGCUGUUUUUUUUUUGUUUUUGUAUGUCACUUGACCUACAGAAGUAAAUAAGCGGUCUUUAUGGGUCUUGUACGCAGGGCAAUUAGAUGCAUGUGCGUUUGGUAGCAUUGUAUUUGGAUACUAGCUAUUCUGAAAAAAAAAAAAAAAAACAUUUGUUUGGUCAUGUAAGGAGUGUAAACAGUUCUUUGUUGCAGCACAGGUCUUGUGAUUUUUUAUUAACUUGUAAUGUUGGCUGCACCUGAAAUGCAGAAGCCAUCAAAUGAAAACUUGAAACCCAAACUACAGUGAUAGUUCAUGGUCCUGCUUAUCUUUUUUUUGGUGCUUAUUGCAGAGUAAGUCUCUAUUGAAGAAAGCACAUCCUUCAAGAUGAGGGAUUCUGUUAGGGGCCAGGACUGUGCCAACUUUUGAUUUUGAAGGCUUUAUUGCCCCUUUCUGAGUCGCAUAUAAGUUGUCACUCGCUCACAAGUAGCACCAACAGAGUGGCAUGAUGUGCUAGUGUUAGUAAGCUUUUCUGCAGAGAAACUUAAGUUGACCAAACUUCAUUUUAUUUCAUAUUUGAAUGCGAUAUAAUUAGCUUUUGCCCUCAGAAACUGGCUUUCCUUUGGCAUAGCUGUGGCACCAGCCACAUCCUAUGUUUGUCGUCUUGUCUUCGAAAGCACUGUUUGCUACAGAUGUGAUGAAGUGACCAUAUUGGAGUAGUAUUUAUAACUUUAGCUUGACCUAAUGCUUCUAACGUCAAUAUGCAUUGUUGUACACAUGUGAAUAGUGCAAAUACUAAUCCAUUGGGUAUGGCUGACUGGUGCAAGUCUUUUUUUUUUUUUACCUUGAAAAGCUGUUUGACUGGUUGUAUUGCUCGAAAUUUUGUUCAUGUACAGUCUCACAUGUGGCACAAACACAGCCAGUUUCACUGUGUUUGAGAUGUUGUAUUCAAAUGUUUGACGUUCCCGAUAAAACUGCUCAUAAACUGCAGCAGGGCAGCCUGUUUCCAUUUGGCUUCUUUACAAACCCAGUUUCUCAGUUUUAAAACCAUGCGGUAUAAGACUAUGUAACAAUGAUUGAGUCUUCCAAAAUGCGUAACUUCAUUGCAGUUGCAGUCUUUCCUUAUGAAAUCUAAAUGAGGAGCUAUGUAGAGGCAUGUGUUUUCAUGAUGUCUUUGAUAGCCUGGACUGAAGGUUCAUUUUCCGGGGGAAAAAGAAAAUAUUGGCACUUUCUGGCACAGAAAUUUUGCUGGUUAGCAUAACUAUGUGGGUUUCGUCCUGCAAGCAUAAAUGCGUUGAUUGAAUGUACUUCUGACGUGUAAAUGAACAGAAAACAGCACUUGCCUGAAAGGGUGCUCGUUGAGGAUAACUCUCCUCCCAACUAUUGCAGCUAUGAUGAGCACAACCUCAAUGUAUGUAUGUAGAAAGUUGUAAAUAUGGUGCAGUUCCACCCCUUUUCCCCUGUUUGAGAAGUGAAGUAUGCGCUUGUUAUGCAAAGAGUUGUUACACUGUAGUUGUUUGGUGUUUCAUAAAAUGCAGGGUUUCUUAUAAUUGUGCUAUUAUAUACACUUCUUUUGGUCGGCCUGUGUUGGGUUUGACCUGGGCCGACCUUUGGGGCGCACGUUUGUCCAGACUGCAAUACUUUGAAUGUAAUGCAAUACACCAUUCGGUGUAGUGGUUUAUAUUUUCGCAUUGCUGGAAAUUAUUACGGUUACGCUCGGUUUCGUGUGUGUAUGCAGGCUGAACCAGAGUCCAACGUUUUUCUUUCUGGUCACAGAACGUCUAUUGGAAAGGUUGUUAUGCCACCCAAUGUAGCCAGGGUCUGGUGUGCUGUAGAUAAGAGGACACUUUGCCGUCAGCGAGUGGAGGCAAGUAACUUGAAUGCACAUUCCAUUGAGCUGUGUAACCGUUCCUGCUGUAGUGCUGCAGAAGACUGAACAAGAAGUGGUGCAGUGAAGUGAAUACUACUAAGUGCCUGAUUCCUUAAGUUACAAACUUCUAGAAGCCAACUAAACGUGGAUCUAGUACGAUUAACGAAAACAAUGGCCAAAUAUAUGCAUGCUGUGAUCAGCCCUUUAGUCAGUCACUAGGGGCAACAAACAAAUUUUAACAUGCCACCAGCCAGUGGUGUAGCCAGUGCAGGGGGUGUGGGCUGGGUUCGACACCCCCCCCCCCUGUAAUUUUUCAAUUUUGCAUGUGUAUAUAUACAUGCACACAUCCAAAUGCAUGUGGUACGGGAGGGGGUUUGUCACACAUGCAAAAACAUGCAUAAGGGGUAGUUGACACUCCCACCCCAAAAAAGCUUUCUGGCUAUGCCCCUGCCACCAUUAGUAACUGAAGUAAUAAAUGAAAUGCAUUUAGCAGGCUUCCACUAGUCAGUGAAAUGUCCACUCGGUAGUAUUCACUCAAAUGCACCGCUACUUAUACUACGAACUUAUGCUGCAGUAGCAAAAGGUUACAAAGCUUAUUUGAAUAUACAUGCGAGUUAAAGGGGUACUGACACCUUUUUUCGAAGGCGAGUUUACUCUGCCAUACAAAUCUCCUGUAUGCAGAGACGGUUCUGAGCAAGUUUGAAGCUCAGCAACUGCUGACAAGAUAUUUUAAUUUGAUAUUAAAGUCAUUUUUUCCAUGGCGCUCCUGCUGACAUCGACACUAGCUUGACGUCAGGCUACAGUACAAAUUCUGGUGACUUCACGCAGCAGUCUGGCUUGUUGUGAUGACGUUAGGUACCGAAACUUCCAAGAUGGCCUCUUGCACGUCAUCAAAACUUCCAAAAUGGCCACUUGUGCGUGGAAACGUCACUAUAUAUUGUGCGAGCACGUGACGAGAAGCUCAUACCGUGUUGUGACGUCAGGGCACAGUAGGAACCGAAACUAGCUUUUAAAAAGAUACUGUAAUUACUUUUUCAGGGCGCACUCGCGCUUAGCACUACCUUUUCUAGGCUCUUGAGGGCUGGACCUUUCAUUUGACACAAGAAAACGACAACUGAAAAUAUUCGUGUCAGUACCCCUUUAAGCCUUCCCAAAAUGACAGACACAGUGCCAUGCUUUCAGUGGCAUAGCAAGCUUUCUGAUAGAAGUCUUCUGACCGAAUGUGUAACACGAAAUUUUGUCACUUCUAAAAUUUGAAAAUUGCACUGAUGUGUAACCUCUGUGAAGCAGGAUAUUUGGUGUGAAAGAAAACUUGAGAUGUAAUCACCCUCUAAUUUGUAUAAAAACGAAGGGCUGCGCAUUUAUGUGCUUUGCUGUUCACAGCGAUACUGGUACAACCGUAGGUACGACAAAACAAGCAUCGUCUGAAAUAUUUGUGAACAGUCGUUCAACUGGUACUGCAAACAGAUCAAAUAGCAAUCCGUGGUGACCAUGCUUCUGUAGAAAUCUUUAGCAGUGCGCGUCCGCAAGUCUAGCAGUAUUCAUGUCCGUGCACCUCCUAGGACACAAGCACUCACAGUUUGAACGAGAAAGACGGCGUUUCUCCCGUCCCAUACUCGGAGUUGACAAAACGAACGCUGUGUACUCUUGCCGCGCAGAUCACGUUCUGAAUGUUACAAAGUAAUCGGUGUACCUGCGUUGCAGCUGUAUGAACAAAGUAUCCCUGAGCUCCUCAAAACGAAAAUAAACCGUAGUUUGGAC